GCAACAGAAGUGAAAACCAUAGAGUUGUAAUGAAUUGCAGGUGACCUGCAUUAUGUUGUGGACAUGGGGAAAAGCUAGAUUUUGAGCAUGUGAUCCUCUGCUCCCUAGUGGGCUGGAUUUCGAAGAAUAACUAAAGAGUGCCAGACAUGACAUUAUUGACUGCCAGCUACAAAAACACAACAAAGAGGAGGAUGCAUCUUACCUGAAUAUAACCUUUCAA